rnacentral:rRNA from 1 species
AUUAUUGAAGAGCAAGUAAUUAAUGUUCAAAAGAUAAUUAUCUAUUUUAUCUUUUUAUCUUUUGAAUUUUGAAUUCAAAAGAUAAUUAUCUUUCUUAUAUUUUAUAUUUUGAAUUUUGAAUUUAAAAUAUAAUUAUCAAUUUUAUCUUUUAAUCUUUUGAAUUUUGAAUUUUAAAAAGGAUAUUUAAUUGGAUUAUUUAAUUAAAAAAAUAGUUUUUCUCAAUUAAAGGAUUUUGAUCAAAACUUGGAAACGUGUCGAUGACGUAUCAUGCAAAUUUCUGCUCAAUCAUUUUUUGAUGGUAGGAUAGUGGCCUACUAUGGUGGUGACGGGCGACGAAGAAUUAGGGUUCGAUUUCGGAGAGGGAGCCUAAGAAACGGCUACCACUUCCAAGGAAGGCAGUAGGCAUGCAAAUUACCCAAUCUUGACAUGGGGAGGUAGUGAAAAUAAAUAACAAUAUAGGGCUCUUAGAGUCUGGUAAUUGGAAUGAGUACAAUCUAAAACCCUUAACGAUGAUCCAUUGGAGGGCAUGUCUGGUGCCAGUAGCCGCGGUAAUUCCAGCUCCAAUAGCAUAUAUUUAAGUUGAUACAAUUAAAAAUCUCAUAGUUGGACCUUGGGUUAGGUCAAUCGGUCCGCCUAUGGUGUACACCGGUUGGUUCAUCCUUUCGACUGGCAAUGCACUCAUGGCCUUAACUGGCCGAGUCGUGCCUCCAGUACUGUUACUUUGAAGAAAUUAGAGUACUCAAAGCAAGCCUACGCUUUGUAUACUUUAGCAUGGGAUAACAUUAUAAGAUUCCGAUCCUAUUCUAUUGGCCUUCGGGAUCGGAGUAAAGGGAUAGUCGAGGGCAUUCGUAUUUCAUAGUUAGAGGUGAAAUUCUUAGAUUUAUGAAAGACGAACAACUACGAAAAGCAUUUGCUAAGGAUGUUUUCAUUAAUCAAGAAUGAAAGUUGGAGGCUCGAAUACAAUCAGAUACUAACCUAGUCUCAACCCUCAAACAAUGUCGACCAAUGAUCGGUGGAUGUUUCUUUUAGGACACUGCUGGCACCUUAUGAGAAAUCAAAGUCUUUAGGUUCCAGGGGGAGUAUGGUCGCAAGGAUGAAUCUUAAAUGAAUUGAUGGAAAGGCACCACCAGGAGUGGAACCUGCAGCUUAAUUUGACUCAACACGGGGAAACUUACUAGGUUUAAACAUAGUAAGGAUUGACAGACUGAGAGCUCUUUCUUGAUUCUAUGGGUGGUGAUGCAUGGUCGUUCUUAGUUGGUAAAGUGAUUUAUCUGGUUAAUUCCGUUAACGAACAAGAACUCAGCCUAGUAACUGGUUAUGCAGAGGUGACCCUUCACGGCCAGCUUCUUAGAGGGACUAUGGCCACUUAGGCCAAGGAAGUCUGAGGCAAUAACAGGUCUCUGAUGCUCUUAGAUGUUCUGGGUCGCACGCACGCUACACUGAUGUAUUCAACGAUUAUAUAACCUUGGCCAAGAGGCCUGGGAAAUCCUUAAAAUUUCAUCGUUAUAGGGAUAGAUCAUUGCAAUUGUUGGUCUUCAUUGACGAAUUCCAAGUAAGCGCUAGUCAGCAGCUCGCGUUGACUACGUCUCUGCCCUUUGUACACACCGACUGUCACUCUUACCGAUUGAAUGGUUUGGAUAAGUCAGAUCACCGCGAUGUGGGUGGUUCGAUGCCUACGACGUUGCGAGAAGUCCACUGAACAUUUUCAUUUAGAGGAAGGAGAAGUCAUAACAAGGUUUUCGUAGGUGAACCUGCGGAAG